CAAUGGGAAGGAGGCGAUAUCCAUCCUCUGUGCUUGCACGGCUCGCCACUGGGAAGGAGGCGACCACGCGCCUCCGCCCCCACCAUGGAUCCGCAGGAGGAUGGCUUCUUCUACUCACACCAUGGCGCGUGCCAUGCCGAUUCCAGUCAAGGGACGGAAUGUAAAGCCCAGAGUUCGGUUACCGCUCGCAAGGUUCACAAGGCUGACCGUGAGAGAAUGCGACGAGACAAAUUGAAUGAGCAGUUCCUGGAAUUGGGAACCACACUUGACCCAGAUCGGCCCAGGCAUGAUAAGGCUACUAUUCUUGGUGAUACAGUUCAGAUGCUCAAGGAUUUGACUUCUCAAGUAAACAAGCUUAAAGCUGAAUACUCUUCUCUCUUUGAAGAAGAAUGUGAGUUGACUAAAGAAAAAAAUGAGCUUCGGAGUGAAAAAGCUUCGCUGAAGUCUGAUGUGGAUAAUUUGAACAACCACUAUCAGCAACGUAUUCAAAUGUUAUACCUGUGCACUACAAUGGAGCCUUCUGUACUCGUUGGGCCACCUCCAUCAUAUCCCUUCUCGCUCCAAGUUCCUAUACCCGCUGGUGCUGUAACUAUGCAUCCACAGCUUCAGCCAUGCCCGUUCUUCCAAAAUCAAACUUCAGGAGCCAUCUCGAAUCCAUGUACUCCUUACAUGGCAUACAGUCAAUCCUGUCAUGCUCCUAGUGAUCAACCAUCUAGCCAGUUCAGUACUCCAGUUCUGCUUUCAAGUAGUAAUCGAUCUCACUCUCCUGCACAAGGCUGUAGAAGCAAGUCACCUUCACUUCAGCAAGCAAGCUGUGGAGGGAGAAAUGAUGAUUUUGGUGAUGUUGCAACUGACUUGGAACUAAAAACUCCUGGUUCCUCAGCUCCUUCACAUUCAGAGAUCACUAACAAGAUAUCUGUAGCUAUAUGGGCUAUGUUCGCACGCGAACACUGUCACCGUGUAACCUCGACGUCGGGGGUGAUGCACUGCAGCUCACGUUGAAGGAGACCCGGCCGAAAGCACGACACGCAAGUAAUCCGAUGGACGCUUUUCUAACCUGAAACCCCACACGCUCGGGAGAGACCCCGUCAGGGCGUGCGGCGGCUAUGGGCUGCCCUAGGUUGACAUGUUCGCCCCUAGGGCCUCGUGGAUCAUUGCCCUCCUUCACGAAGAACGAGGAAGAAAAAGAAAAAGGGAGAGAUAAAGGCGGAUGGACUUCUCAUACAAGAAAAGGACUUGCCUUGCCGUCAAAAUCCGCAAAAUCUAACCAAAUUCGGACUUCUCACGACCUUCGGCCCGGAUGAUCCGGCCAAGCCCAGUUUUUUGAUAGUAGGUCACUAUUCAGGCUGUAACUUUUACAUACGAACUCGGAUUAAGAUGAUUUUUAUAUCAAAAUCAACCGUUUCGACAA